UAGGGAAUAUUGGACAAUGGGUGCAAGCCUGAUCCAGCCAUGCCGCGUGCAGGAAGACGGCCUUCUGGGUUGUAAACUGCUUUUGCCAGGGGAUAAAAAGUCCUUGCGAGGAAAAUUGAAGGUACCUGGUGAAUAAGCCACGGCUAACUACGUGCCAGCAGCCGCGGUAAUACGUAGGUGGCAAGCGUUGUCCGGAUUUAUUGGGUUUAAAGGGUGCGUAGGCGGCCUUAUAAGUCAGUGCUGAAAUAUCCCGGCUUAACCGGGAGGGUGGCAUUGAUACUGUAGGGCUCGAGUAAAGUUGAGGUUGGCGGAAUUGACGGUGUAGCGGUGAAAUGCUUAGAUAUCGUCAAGAACACCGAUUGCGUAGGCAGCUAACUAAGCUUUAACUGACGCUGAGGCACGAAAGUGUGGGGAUCAAA
rnacentral:rRNA from 1 species